AAACUCGAACUUUUUUUUCCUUUUCAUUUCUUUUUCUUAAACAACCCUAGAAAGAGCGGAAUUUACUAAGCAUCACAAGGCAAAAAGGCUUAUAAAGUCUGCAGGAGGUCUUGGGGAAGGACGACCGCCACAGCCUAAGAUGAGGGAGGGUAGAUCAUCACCCAUUUGGUUAUAGAAUGGCAACAGCAUUUCACAUGCCUAGAAAGAUAAAUUUCUAAGCAAGUCUGCAAUAGUAGAAUAUUACGAACAGUGGUGAAGAUCUCUGCGGGGAUGCCGAACUAAGGCAUCGAUCAGCCAGGCAACCCGAUCAAGGUCUGUAGGCCAACACGGAGAGCAGAAUGAAGAGCUAUCCUGAUUCCUGAGUGCAAGGGUCUCCCCCACUAGAGCAGACCUGGGGAACACAUGAUCCGUGAAAAGCAAGCAGAGCAUCCUAUUUCCUAUCAGCAGAAUUAAUUUCUUCAAUUUAAUUCUAAGUGAAGAAUGCAUUAAUAUCUUCAAUUUGUUCCACUACUGGGUGUUCUUCAGAUUGAUAGAAGGAUGAGGGAGAGUUCUUCUAUAAAUAUUGAGCUUAUUACAAAUAAGCUUCCUGUUCCUCGGAGCUCCAAUGCAUCCAUAGGGCCAACUCAUUGUAUUUACAGAGCCGACGAGAGAAUUCGCAAAAUGCCUACACGCCGGAUACUGUCUCCAUUGGCCCUUAUCAUCUUGAGAAGCGAAACUUGCAAAUGCAAGCCAUGGAAGACCUUAAGUCGCAAUACGUUGCGGCACUUCUUGUUCGAACCAGUCGCAGAACCAGAUGACGAUGAUCCCAUAUUCUCUUCCAUUUUAAGACGAACAAGGGUUGUGCGUGACUUGGCAUUGCUUGAAAACCAAAUACCCAUGUCAGUUCUUCAAAGGUUAUUCGAUCUAAGUAAGGAUCCUAUCUCUGAACCUGCAAUAUCACUAACCGAAUUGGCUCUUUAUUUCUUUGAGGUAUUGACAGAUGGUAUGUACAUGUAUCCUGAACAUCCCGAGGCCAUUAAUACACACAAGCAUCUACUGGAUCUAUUAAACAACACGUUUGAUGGUUCUCUUCCGGCGAUAGCGUCUCCAGAAUUAAUUGAACCACUAGAAUAUCUCCCAUGUGUGAUGGAGCUCAUGCGUUCUGGUGUUAAGUUUGAGAAGCGCGAUCCUGAUUACUUGAUGAACAUAGAAUUCAACAAAGGAACUUUUAGAAUCCCUCCACUAUGUGUAAAUGACUACACAGAUUCUUUCUUCCGGAACCUUAUGGCUUACGAGCAACAACGCUCUGGAACGACAGGUCGUUACUAUGUAACAUCAUAUGUGCUCUUGAUGGAUAGCCUUAUUGACUCUGCUGAUGACGUGAAAUUUCUCCGUGGUAGUGAAAUUAUUGUGAAUCUCCUGGGUGAUGAUAGUAAGGUCUCGUCUCUAUUUAACAAUCUCUGCAAUGGAAUUUCCACUAAGAAAUCCUGUUAUGGUGAUCUUUACUACCGAGUCCGUGAAUAUUAUAACCGGCCCUGUAACAAAUGGAAAGCCACAUUUAGGCGCGAUUAUUGCAACAGUCCAUGGACGAUCAUUUCAGUGGGUGCAGCAAUUCUGUUACUAUUUCUCACCAUAUGGGCUACCAUAUUCACCACCCUGCCUGUCUUCAACGUUAAUUUCAAGCAUUAAUCUUAGAUAUUUGCCAUCAAGUUAUCAUGUCAAUCGUCAUCUCCGCUUCCUCACCACUCUGGGCUAUAGGGCUUUUUGCUAUUGUGACUGUUUGGUUGGCCUUUUCCUUGGGGGAAAAAGGCAAAUAGAAAGGAGGUGAGGAGAGGAAGGGUGGAGCAAAAAGGAGCCAGUUGAGAAAGAAUGAAUUACAAAGAAUUCCACAAUAAAGGGAAAACAAGAAAAAUUCAGAAUUAUUCUCCACCUUGAGCAUUACCAUCAAUAGAGAAGGACAAGCGCCAAGACAAGACAAACGGCCAAUCAUUCUAAAACCAAAGACUCAUAAGAAGUGGAACCUUGGUUUCUCCAUAGCAUUCCAUUCUAUAUCAUUUGCAGAGAAUCGAAGGGGAGAGAUCGAUCCAAACCGAGGAAGACCUUGUUGCCGCAGCAUGUUUCGCAAGACUCUCAGCGACCGAAUUAACCUCACAGUAGCAAUGCUGAAUGCUCCAUUUAAUCUUGUCCAAAUAGCUUUUAUAAAACAACCGUUUUUGAGUAGAACUCCAAAGGAUAAUUUAUUUAAUAUGCACCAAA